rnacentral:rRNA from 1 species
GUGAGGAAUAUUGGUCAAUGGGCGAGAGCCUGAACCAGCCAAGUCGCGUGCAGGAAGAAUGUCCUAUGGAUUGUAAACUGCUUUUGCAGGGGAAUAAAGUUCAGCACGUGUGCUGUUUUGUAUGUACUCUGCGAAUAAGGAUCGGCUAACUCCGUGCCAGCAGCCGCGGUAAUACGGAGGAUCCGAGCGUUAUCCGGAUUUAUUGGGUUUAAAGGGUGCGUAGGCGGCCUGUUAAGUCAGGGGUGAAAUACGGCAGCUCAACUGUCGCAGUGCCCUUGAUACUGACGGGCUUGAAUACCGGUGAAGGCGGCGGAAUGAGACAAGUAGCGGUGAAAUGCAUAGAUAUUACACAGAACUCCGAUUGCGAAGGCAUCUUACUAAGCUGAAACUGACACUGAUGUACGAAAGCGUGGGGAUCGAACAGGAUUAGAUACCCGUGUAGUCC